CCCGACCGAGAAACGACCGCGUGAGUGGAAGAAGGGUUCGGAUGCGUAAAGCUCUGUUGUAAGAGAAGAACGAGUGUGAGAGUGGAAAGUUCACACUGUGACGGUAACUUACCACGAAAGGGACGGCUAACUACGUGCCAGCAGCCGUCGGUAAUACGUAGGUCCCGAGCGUUGUCCGGAUUUAUUGGGCGUAAAGCGAGCGCAGGCGGUUAAAUAAGUCUGAAGUUAAAGGCUGUGGCUUAACCAUAGUACGCUUUGGAAACUGUUUAACUUGAGUGCAGAAGGGGAGAGUGGAAUACCAUGUGUAACGGUGAAAUGCGUAGAUAUAUGGAGGAACACCGGUGGCGAAAGCGGCUCUCUGGUCUGUAACUGACGCUGAGGCUCGAAAGCGUGGGGAGCAAACAGGAUUAGAUACCCUGGUAGUCCACUCCGUAAACGAUGAGUGCUAGGUGUUGGGUCCUUCCUGGACUCAGUGCCGCAUCUACGCAUUAAGCACUCGCCUGGGG
rnacentral:rRNA from 1 species